rfam:Otolemur garnettii contig116263, whole genome shotgun sequence.
GUGGCUCAGUGGGUAGGGCUCCAGCCCCAUAUGCUGAGGGUGGCUGGUUCAAACCCAGCC